rnacentral:snoRNA from 1 species
AACCCAAAAUGAUGAUUUGCAUGUGAGUCCGUGUUUCAGCUGAACCUCGUGAUUAUAAUUUCACUGCACUGACUGGGUU